GCGGAAGUGGCGAAAUUGGUAGACGCACCAGAUUUAGGUUCUGGCGCUGCGAGGCGUAAGAGUUCAAGUCUCUUCUUCCGCACCA
rnacentral:tRNA from 2 species